GGUGUGAUGUAUGGAGAGAGUUAGACUCUGUGAUGUGAUGUAUGGAGAGAGUUAGACUCUGUGAUGUAUGGAGAGAGUUAGGCUCUGUGAUGUAUGGAGAGAGUUAGACUCUGUGAUGUGAUGUAUGGAGAGAGUUAGGCUCUGUGAUGUAUGGAGAGAGUUAGACUCUGUGAUGUGAUGUAUGGAGAGAGUUAGACUCUGUGAUGUAUAGAGAGAGUUAGACUCUGUGAUGGAUGGAGAGAGUUAGACUCUGUGAUGUAUGGAGAGAGUUAGGCUCUGUGAUGUAUGGAGAGAGUUAGACUCUGUGAUGUAUGGAGAGAGUUAGACUCUGUGAUGUGAUGGAGAGAGUUAGACUCUGUGAUGUAUGGAGAGAGUUAGACUCUGUGAUGUAUGGAGACAGUUAGACUCUGUGUUGUGUGGAGAUCUACUAGCCAGCGUAGUGUGAGGCUCUGUGAUGUAUGGAGAGAGUUAGGCUCUGUGAUGUAUGGAGAGAGUUAGACUCUGUGAUGUGAUGUAUGGAGAGAGUUAGGCUCUGUGAUGUGAUGUAUGGAGAGAGUUAGACUGUGAUGUAUAGAGAGAGUUA
ensembl:lncRNA